UACGUAGGGUGCAAGCGUUAUCCGGAAUUAUUGGGCGUAAAGAGCUCGUAGGCGGUUUGUCGCGUCUGCUGUGAAAACUGGGGGCUCAACCCCCAGCCUGCAGUGGGUACGGGCAGACUAGAGUGCGGUAGGGGAGAUUGGAAUUCCUGGUGUAGCGGUGGAAUGCGCAGAUAUCAGGAGGAACACCGAUGGCGAAGGCAGCUCGGCUGGGACGGUACUGACGCUGAGGCGCGAAAGCGUGGGGAGCAAACAGG
rnacentral:rRNA from 1 species